rnacentral:rRNA from 1 species
GUUCCUUCGAAGAGUCGAGUUGUUUGGGAAUGCAGCUCUAAGUGGGUGGUAAAUUCCAUCUAAAGCUAAAUAUUGGCGAGAGACCGAUAGCGAACAAGUACAGUGAUGGAAAGAUGAAAAGAACUUUGAAAAGAGAGUGAAAAAGUACGUGAAAUUGUUGAAAGGGAAGGGCUUGAGAUCAGACUUGGUAUUUUGUAUGUUACUCUCUCGGGGGUGGCCUCUACAGUUUACCGGGCCAGCAUCAGUUUGGGCGGUAGGACAAUUGCAAAGAAAUGUGGCACUGCCUCGGUAGUGUGUUAUAGUCUUUGUCGAUACUGCCAGCCUAGACUGAGGACUGCGGCUUCGGCCUAGGAUGUUGGCAUAAUGAUCUUAAGUCGCCCGUCUUGAA